GACGUAGGGUGCGAGCGUUGUCCGGAUUUAUUGGGCGUAAAGAGCCCGUAGGCGGCUCGUCGCGUCGACCGUGAAAACCCGCGGCUUAACUGCGGGCUUGCGGUUGAUACGGGCGGGCUAGAGUUCGGUAGGGGAGACUGGAAUUCCUGGUGUAGCGGUGAAAUGCGCAGAUAUCAGGAGGAACACCGGUGGCGAAGGCGGGUCUCUGGGCCGAUACUGACGCUGAGGAGCGAAAGCGUGGGGAGCGAACAGG
rnacentral:rRNA from 1 species